CAAUUCUCCAAACACAUUCCACAUGGGAAAAACAAGGAGCAGAAACAGAAAUUGUUUUCUGUUUCAUUUCUCUCUUUGCUCCUCUAUGAAAAAUCCUGAGAGGGAGAGAAAUGUGCUUGCCACACGAAACAAGUGCUGCUGUUUGAUUAUUUGGUCUGGAGCUGUUGCUGCCACCAGGGCAGGGCAGGGAAGGCAGGUGACCUAAUUCUGAGCCACCUGAUCUUGGCAAUGCUUUAAUCACUUCAUCUUUCCCCAAAAGAGUGAUUUAUGGGCGUUUUACCCUGGUUGGUAAAAACGUUUCAAUUUUACAUUCAUCAGCCUGAUCUCUGGUAGUACAUCUGUUCCCUCUGCUGCAGAUGAAUCCUCACCAGUCAGUGGCAUUAUCACAUCAGGAAAUGUGUGCCAUUAGUCAAAGCCAGUGUCAAUUUUAAACUGAGCAUUGUGAGCUUAUUUUGUUCCCAGUAAAUCACAGCCCACAAGCACAGUGCCACUAAGAUUAAUAAUUUUCUGAAGUGAAAUGAUUUGUCGCUUGCUUUAGCACAGCCUUAGUGUUGAUUUGAUCUCUUGUCCAACCAUUUUGUGAUUAAAUGAGCAAUCAACAGAUUGAGGAGGGGGAAGCUCCCCCUAAAGUGAAUUUCUAAUAUAUUAGAGACUGUUUUUUGCCUAAUGUGUACUAAUGCAAAAGUACAAAAUAAUUCAUAAUGUACAUGAAAAGCAAACUAAAAUGUGACUCUAACAUCUGUGCCUUAUUAAAUAAUAACUUGAAAACUGGCAUCAGAUUAUUCAGUAUUGUUUUUAUGACUGUUUAAUCUCAUUUAUCUUCUCUGCCUGGUGCCCAUGUCCAUCUCUGGUGGCAGCCCAGAAUUUCCACUUCUUUUAAUACUGCACAUGGAGUCAGGCUUUUUGGCUCUACCUUUGUGCUUUCCAGGGACUAAUUAGGAGUUCUCAGUGAACUGCUUUUUUCUGGGCAUUUGCAGCUCCAAAGUGUUUAAAAUUCUACUAAACUUGGAGCAAUCAGAAGAAAACUCUCAACACCAGGAGGCAGUUUUGCUCAGGAGGAUGUGGUUUUGGCAGUGUGGGCUUGCACAGUGUGAAAAGACCCCAAGCUUUAAUGCAGAUGAAGCUGUCCAGGCUCCUUCAGCUCAUGGCAUUUGUGAGCUUUUCUUUUUAAAGACUUUUUCAUGAAGUUCUGUUCCAUGUCUGAAGGCGCUUGGUGAUGUUUUGGGGAGAAAUAUUUCUCCAGGUAACCCUUGCCUGUGUCUUUAGCAGAACCCUUGAGCAUUUGUCAAAUUCAGGAUUCCCAGGACAGAAUGCAAAGGAACAGCACACAAGUUUUAAUUCAUCUGAGGCAUCACUGUUAAACACCCUUGGUGUUCAGGGUGCCAAGUUAUUCUCUCUAAUGAAUGCUUCCAGACUUUUCUCCACAGAACAGACUUCUUAGGAAUAUUCUUUGUACUGAUGUUUCUUUUCAGUCAGAGGAAACAUUUGCUCACUUUAAAUAUGCACCAAUACAUAAACAUCCUCUUUAAAUCAAUGUAGUGGCUUCAGAAAGAAUUGAAUGGUAGCUUUAAGUGAGUGGCAGAAUGCACCAAGUGCAUUUUAUGGUGGGAGACUUCCAGCCCCCAAAUUUGAAUGGUAUUAAACCAAAGCCUAGGGAAUCCCAGCUUUCUGUGCACUCCAUGUGAUAGUUUGGGUGCUGGUGUAAAUAGCAAUUGCCUGGCACAAAUGGGAGCAGUGCUGUGGGGGGGGGUUUGUUGUCAUUAUUGUUAUGGGUGCAGUACAAUCUCAGUACAAAAAUCAUGGAAUUAGUAUAUUUUCAUAGUCUCAGACACCACAGGGGGUGGUGUGGGGUUACUGCUGUCUCCUAGCUGCAGUAUCUCCAGGGGCUGGCUAGCCAGCAUCCACACAAACUACCAAAUGAAAAGGGGCUUUUAGAGUUCAUUUGCAUUGUGGUUAGCAGUCAGCUUCACAGUUUGUGUUCUGUGGAUGAGACUGUGAGCAGCAGCAGCCAAAGCAAGGGCAGGUUCCAGCUCAGCCUGCAGCAGCACAGCAUCUCCAGCCUCUCUGGGAACUCAACCUGUUUAAGGCAGUCCUGCUGCCUGUGUCAGCCUGGAGAUCAGAGCAGAUGAUCAAAUCAAACUGCUUUUCUCUGCCCUUCCCUUGCAGGGUCUAUAUACAGCACAGUCCAUGUGCCUGAGCAGCUUUAGAAGCCCUAUCUAUAGACUGGGGAGAGGCAGUGGAGUUCAGCCUGGUGCUGGGGACUGACUGACAGAACAUGACAAGGCAGUUUAAGGAGAUGAGAAGCUGAGAGUGAUCUUCUCACACAGCUCAAGGCUGGGGCAGGGCAGCUGCUGAUCACAGACAGGCCUGCAGUCACCACUGCAGGAUGAAAGGCUCCUUUUGAUUGCGGUGGAAUGGGGCUGGAGAUACAGACCCCAAUAAAUGUCAUGUGAGGAGAAGAUGGAGAUAACAAAACCUGCACUAAAAGACUGAGAAAUCUUUGUUUAGCCAACAGGCAGGACUUAAAGCUGCUCUCAUGGAGCAGCAAAUAAAACAUGCAAUAUGCUCUUGUAGUUUGAUUUUUCAACUCUGUAAUUUCUGCUUUGUGGCACGGCUGUUCUCUGAGCUUGAGAAGUUUACAUAAGCUGCCAUGACACAGGCAGGGUUUUACAGAGGCAUUAGAUUUUCCUAAAGCUAUGCUGGAAAGAGAGGCCCACGUAAGAAAAACUGAACAGUAAAAGUUGGUGCACGUAUACAGCUGAGUGUAGUAAAAACUAUAUGAUAGCAGCAAUAAA